rnacentral:tRNA from 1 species
GGCCGAGUAGCUCAGUUGGUAGAGCAGUGGAUUGAAAAUCCUCGUGUCGGUGGUUCAAUUCCGCCCUCGGCCACCA